rnacentral:rRNA from 1 species
GACGAACGCUGGCGGCGUGCUUAACACAUGCAAGUCGAACGAAGUGGCGAACGGGUGAGUAACGCGUAAUCAACCUGCCCUUCAGAGGGGGCCAACAGUUGGAAACGACUGCUAAUACCGCAUACUUCAGUAGGUGAUUGCGUCUGGUUCGCUAGUUGGAGGGGUAACUGCCCACCAAGGCGGUGAUCAGGAGCCGGUCUGAGAGGAUGAACGGCAACAAUGGGACUGAGACACGGCCCAGACUCCUACGGGAGGCAGCAGUGGGGAAUCUUCCGCAAUGGACGAAAGUCUGACGGAGCAACGCCGCGUGAGUGAUGACGGCCUUCGGGUUGGAAAGCUCUGUUAAUCGGGACGCGGUACCGGAAUAGAAAGCCACGGCUAACUACGUGCCAGCAGCCGCGGUAAUAC